GAUGAACGCUGGCGGCGUGCCUAAUACAUGCAAGUCGAGCGAACAGACGAGGAGCUUGCUCCUCUGACGUUAGCGGCGGACGGGUGAGUAACACGUGGAUAACCUACCUAUAAGACUGGGAUAACUUCGGGAAACCGGAGCUAAUACCGGAUAAUAUAUUGAACCGCAUGGUUCAAUAGUGAAAGACGGUUUUGCUGUCACUUAUAGAUGGAUCCGCGCCGCAUUAGCUAGUUGGUAAGGUAACGGGUUACCAAGGCAACGAUGCGUAGCCGACCUGAGAGCGUGAUCGGCCACACUGGAACUGAAACACGGACCGGACUCCUACGGGAGGCAGCAGUAGGGAAUCUUCCGCAAUGGGCGAAAGCCUGACGGAGCAACGCCGCGUGAGUGAUGAAGGUCUUCGGAUCGUAAAACUCUGUUAUUAGGGAGAAACAAAUGUGUAAGUCACUAUGCACGUCUUGACGGUACCUAAUCAGAAAGCCACGGCUAACUACGUG
rnacentral:rRNA from 1 species